rnacentral:rRNA from 1 species
UACAGAGACCUCAAGCGUUAUCCGGAUUUAUUGGGCGUAAAGCGCAGGUAGGCGGGCUUGUUAGUCGUAUGUUAAAGCUUGGGGCUUAACCCCAAAGAUGCAUACGAAACGGCAGGUCUGGAGGAUGUGAGAGAUCAGUGGAAUUGAUGGUGUAGUAGUGAAAUGCGUUGAUAUCAUCAAGAACACCCAAGGCGAAGGCAACUGAUUGGCACAUUCUGACGCUGAGCUGCGAAAGCGUGGGUAGCGAAUGGGA